rnacentral:rRNA from 1 species
UACGAAGGGGGCUAGCGUUGUUCGAAAUUACUGGGCGUAACGCGCACGUAGGCGGACUGUCAAGUCAGGGGUGAAAUCCCGGGGCUCAACCUCGGAACUGCCUCUGAUACUGUCAGACUAGAGUCCGGAAGAGGUGGGUGGAAUUCCUAGUGUAGAGGUGAAAUUCGCAGAUAUUAGGAAGAACACCGGUGGCGAAGGCGGCCCACUGGUCCGGAACUGACGCUGAGGUGCGAAAGCGUGGGGAGCAAACAGG